UUUCUCUACCUUGGUCCGGUGAUGGACAAAGGAGGCAGACUCACGUUGACAGAUCUCAUGCUGAUAAACUGCAAUCUCAGAGCCCAUCGGAUCUUGGUUUUAUUCGGACAUGUUUUCGCAGAAAUUGAUAGACAACGGAUAAAAAAUUAUGAUGAAAUAAGACUAGUGUGAUUACUUCUCUUUUAUAUGGGCUUCAUAUACCCUCCUCAAGCUAUUCCUUGGGCCUUUCCUCACUUUACCAUGUCGCUUCAUCCAUUGGCUGCAUCAAAUCAGGUUCUUCCACAGACAUAAGUGUUGGAGUGCAAAAGGAAUCUUCCUCAUAUUCUUCAUCGUUCCCCUGUUCCUUCCCACUUCUUCUUGCUACCAUCUUCAUCUGAUGAAGUGCCUCCCUUUUUUCUUUGCGUAGGAGUUUGUGUUUCUUGCUUUCCUCCUUUUUCCUACGCAUAUCUUCCAGUUUAUUCCUCUCUUGCUCCUCUAGAAUCGGUGUCAUCUCCUCCUGCCUCUCAUGAGGAUGUUGUUGCCCAAGCAUCAUUUUC
rnacentral:lncRNA from 1 species